rnacentral:tRNA from 1 species
GGUGUAGCUCAGUGGUAGAGCAUGUGCUUAGUAUGCAUGAGGCCUUGGGUUCAAUCUCUAGCACC